GGCAUUAAUUAAGCAUGCAAAUAGCUGAUUUUUAGGAAAAAUGUAACUUUGCGUGAAUAGUUAAAGGGCUUAAACUAAACUAAAUUAUCUGAAAUUUUGUACAGUNNNNNNNNNNNNNNNNNNNNUGUUAACUCAAAAUAUGAUUGCAACUUUUAAAUUUUGUGCGCUAGCCAUUUUUAGUUUGUUGGAAAAGACACCCCCCCCCCCUGGUUCACAAAAUUUGAGUUCGAGAAAUUUUUUUCAUUCUACAUUAUAAGUACCCAAAGAAGCUAUAUAUAUAAAAAACCGGAUACAAAUAGGUGUUUUGCGAAAUCGAGAGCAAUUUCAAAUCUGUCCAGUUUUUUUUUUAUACACCCUGUAGUUCAAACGUCGCGCUUAUCAUGUAGCGAGCCUUAUGUUUAGACCUGCACUGGUUGUUUGAACCCGUUGUGGUUUCCAACAAUCGAUACCUUGCUGUAAAAUGAAUACAGCUAAUUCAAAAAACGUUGUCCUUUGCAAACCUUAAACUCUAAACCUUAAACUCUAAACGUGCAAAGCAUAAUGGGAGCUGCAUUUAAUCAGUUCAGAAAUCAUAUAUGGGACCCAUUUCUUAGAGACAUGAUAAAUAUCUCCUUACCUGAACAUUUUAUUUACAAAUAGCUGCAAUAUUCAACUACUAAGCUUGAAACUUGUGCUCCCAUUAAGAUUUGCGCGCUUAGAGUUUAAGGUUUAAGGUUUAGAGUUUAAAAAGGACAACCUUUUUAAUUGGCUGCAUGUAUGUCUGGAGCGCUACCUCCAACCGGAAAUUUGAAGCCAGACUUAUAAAGGCCAGUCCCAGUCUUUUCACGCAUGUGACGAGUACGGUCAAUCCGUCAACAUGAAUAUGUAUUCUUGAAAACCAGCUUAAAAUUUGCCAAUAAAAAGCUUUUUAACAGCUGUGAAAACGUUCUAUUAAUCCAUAUAAAGAAAACUUGCUAUAGUAGAAUUUAGUUUCAGUUUUUUCUUAUCAAUACGGCAUGGUCUCUCGAGAGGAUAGACAUAAACGCGCUGGUCUCGACCUCCAGACACUGGAGUCAGAGUUGGCUUCAAGAAAAAUAUAGACAGUUUAUAUAUGAAGGUAGUGUUCCAGUUAUUCAUCCCACAUACAAUACCUGCCAAUGAUAUUAUUUUGCUAGCGUUUCUCAGCGGUGGAAAUAACUACAGAAACUCAAGUACGAACUCACGGUCAAGAAACUUGACGGUCAAGUACAAACUCACGGUCAAGAAACUUGACGGUCAAGUACAAACAGUACUCCCGGUCAAACAUUAACAACUACUCUUAAUGAGGAAAAACAAUAGUAUUUUCUUGUAAUCUAAAUUACUAUUGGAGCCGAGCAUAUGCAGGUUCCAUCUUAGAUAUAUUUAAUAAAUUUGCACGGUGCUUUAUGGUGCUUUUCCUAUGGUGCUUUUCCCGUCGAUUACCUGACGAUGUUCAGUCCGGGUGGUUUCAACCGAGGCUGAAACUCGGGC
rnacentral:lncRNA from 1 species